rnacentral:rRNA from 1 species
GAUGAACGCUGGCGGCGUGCUUAACACAUGCAAGUCGAACGGAAAGGCUCCUGCUUGCAGGGGUACUCGAGUGGCGAACGGGUGAGUAACACGUGGGUGAUCUGCCCUGCACUUCGGGAUAAGCCUGGGAAACUGGGUCUAAUACCGGAUAGGACGAUGGUUUGGAUGCCAUUGUGGAAAGUUUUUCGGUGUGGGAUGAGCUCGCGGCCUAUCAGCUUGUUGGUGGGGUAAUGGCCUACCAAGGCGUCGACGGGUAGCCGGCCUGAGAGGGUGUACGGCCACAUUGGGACUGCGAUACGGCCCAGACUCCUACGGGAGGCAGCAGUGGGGAAUAUUGCACAAUGGGCGCAAGCCUGAUGCAGCGACGCCGCGUGGGGGAUGACGGCCUUCGGGUUGUAAACUCCUUUCGCUAGGGACGAAGCGCAAGUGACGGUACCUGGAGAAGAAGCACCGGCUAACUACGUG